UACAGAGGGGGCAAGCGUUGUUCGGAAUUACUGGGCGUAAAGGGCGCGUAGGCGGCCUGCUAAGUCGAACGUGAAAUCCCCGGGCUCAACCCGGGAACUGCGUCCGAUACUGGCAGGCUUGAGUGCGGGAGAGGAUGGUGGAAUUCCCAGUGUAGAGGUGAAAUUCGUAGAUAUUGGGAAGAACACCGGUGGCGAAGGCGGCCAUCUGGACCGCAACUGACGCUGAGGCGCGAAAGCGUGGGGAGCAAACAGG
rnacentral:rRNA from 1 species